UACGUAGGGCGCAAGCGUUGUCCGGAAUUAUUGGGCGUAAAGAGCUCGUAGGCGGUUCGUCGCGUCGGCUGUGAAAUCCCGAGGCUCAACCUCGGGUCUGCAGUCGAUACGGGCGGACUGGAGUUCGGCAGGGGAGACUGGAAUUCCUGGUGUAGCGGUGGAAUGCGCAGAUAUCAGGAGGAACACCAAUAGCGAAGGCAGCUCGCUGGGACGGUACUGACGCUAAGGCGCGAAAGCGUGGGGAGCGAACAGG
rnacentral:rRNA from 1 species